rnacentral:lncRNA from 1 species
ACUCCAUGUGAGUUGUGGCUGUUAAAGCUUGAGUUGGAGAGACUGACGCUGAGGCACAGCUCUGUGAAAUACUUACCACUCAACUGCUCUGCAGUGCCAAGAGUUCCUUUGUCCUGGUUAUAACUGCUGGGAUAUGCCACCAUCUCCAAAGGCUACAAAGUUGGGCUUUAAACAUGAAUUCAGUCUAAAAAGGAGAUUCCUUCCAUUGAAUGUGCUUGCAGUGCAGGGAAAGUCUCUGCGCCUCCCCUCAUAUCACACUCGGACCGUGCGUGCCGCCGCCGGGUGCCGGAGCGGGGCCGGAUGGAUCGGCGUGGACUGAAUGCCCUCUACCGGGGGAACCCGGGGGUUACCCACAGCCGCACCAUUGGCUAUAAAGGGUGAUAAAAAUGGGGGCAAGAGAGCAAUGUGGAGCUGCCCACUGUGUCUCUGCUGCUGACCAGCUGCUCAGGACCAUGGCACUUGCUGUUCCAUCACCUCAUCCCAGAUGGCUGUGCAGGGCAGGCAGAGCUGCUGGAUCCUGAAGGUGCAGUGGAUCUAGACCCAAACCAAGCCCAGACUAGGGGGGCUGUUCUCAAGGUACAUGCAGAGAUCACCUCCUGCCAGAGCAGGGUGGCCUGAGGCCUGCUGCAGGACAGGAUAGGUGGUGUGCUGGUGGAAUGAGAAAUAUGAGAAAUGGGGGAAAAAAAGUCAGUGUUUUCACCCAGCACCAUUUGAGGAGAAUGUUUCCAUCAUUCCAGCUUCCCCUCUGGCUCCAAGAGACCAUGGCUGCCCUACUCUGCAUGUAGUACUGCCCCUUCCUCCACUGGAGACCACUGCCGCCAGGUUUCUCCAGCUGUGUGAGAGGUUUGCUUUUGAGCCAUAGGCAAAAAAAUGUUGGUUGUCUUGAAGAAAUGCUCUUCCAAAGUCAGCAGCCAGUACAGUGAGUACUGCCAGCACACAACUGAGUGGGAUGAGGCUGCUCCAGCUUUACCCCAGGAUCUGAUCACUUACAAAGACUACAAUUAGAUCCAUCAUGUUAUCUGAAUGGUUAUUUUGUGAUUUAAUUCCCCCUGCUUUUUCACAGUGGUAAUUAAACGAGCAAGGAAAAAGAGACAGAUUAAUUGAUUGAACUGGUUCCAGGAGAAACCAUUAGUCCUGUUCCUCUUCUGCUCUAUAUGGUGUUUAAACAACUCUGUAAUGGAGCCCAGUGAAUCCUGCCAACACAUUUCUGUAAGCGCUGCUUUGAUUUUCAAAUGAAUUGUCUUCAUCUGCUUUUAUCCCCCCGUUGCCUUAGCUUUAUAUGAAAAUUUGUACAGUCUUCUUGCUUAUGAAAAAGAAAGGAAAAAAAAAGCAAAUAUGUUUCAAUAUGAUUGAAGAUGAAUUUUGUU